GGCACGACACUGCUCUGGCCAUGUUCUCACACCCGUUCUACGCACAGGUCUUGGCGCUGUCCCUCCUGAAAGCUUCCUUCGGGGGCUUCGCUACGCCGGGCAUUCCCUUGCCACUGGUGCGGCCUUCGACGAGUUUCAUCGAUGACGAUGUGCUGGCUGAGUUUCGCCGCUCCCAGCCAAUUCCUUGCCAGCAUCCAAGACUGACUGCGACAUCUGCUCUCACCUGGCAACCAAAGCCUUCCAGCGUCACGCGAUCCGAGGGGCGGAUAUAUAAGCAGCACUUGUCAGCUGAGCGUCCGGGGCACGACACCGCUCUGGCCAUGUUCUCACACCCGUUCUACGCACAGGUCAAUAACGUUCCGAAGGGCGUCUCUGAAGUCUUGGGCUCUGUACGGUCGACCACUUAAGUCAUCAUGGAGGAAAACGGAGUCGACAACCAGCUUACCGGUGCUGGCUGCGGCUGCCUUGCCGAUUAUGCAACUUCGAUCACUUUCUAUGUUCAAGUGAGUGUGUGUGACGGGGCACGUGGUGAAAAAUCUUGAUCAGCCUCCUGGAAUGGGAACGCCGACUCUGACACCACGAGGCGCACAUGGAGAGCCUGACCCAACUAAGGAACUAAGGGAGCAGCUGGUUCAAGGUGUGUGGGGUUUGCGGGAAGUCGAGCCGCAGCGCCUCGAACUGGAGCGCCGGUCGCACGAUACCAACCAACGCCUGCUUCAGCAGCUGCUGGCUGCACUUGUUUAUGGCGCCAGCCAGGCCCCUCGCCCAUGUCAGUUCUCCCGUGAGAAGUAAAGAAGCAUAAGCAAGGAAUUUGAUGUCACGUUUUUUCU